rnacentral:snoRNA from 1 species
AUGUCAUGGGGUGGGAAUUUUCUUAACAUUGCUUUUAAUCUUUCCCAAGCUUGAUAAACUGACUCAGUGUCAGUCUGUAAAAAAUUAGGUAUGUCUCGUCUUAACUU